rnacentral:lncRNA from 1 species
CGGUCUAGCCGCCAGUUGAGCGUCCCAGAGUUCGGAACCGCACUGGACCUUUACACUGAGGAGUUCAUGGCGUUGGAACGCUCUCACCCCUGUCGCUGCCUCCUACAAUCCUAGCCGCUCAAGGUAUCGGCUCUCCCUCCAUCUCUGAGGUACUUACAUGCCAUUUUGGCUCACACGUUAACAGGAAGGCGAGAGAGCACUGGCGUCGUCAACACUAACGACGUCUACUUUCUAUGGUGUAUGUCACAAGGCACGUCAUAGACCUUACUUAUUUUAUUGCCCUCGCCAUUCAACAUCAGACGGG